rnacentral:lncRNA from 1 species
UACACAAAUAAAAAAAAAGCUAUCAAUUUGAGCAUGUAAAUUUCUGACUCAUGUGGCCUACUUAAUUUUGGUAAUUUCUUAGUGAUUUCUAUGCAUGUGAUGUAUAAAUAUACAUCUAGUUCUAGGACUUGAAUUUGGUCUAUAGAAAUAGUUUUUGGGGAGGGGAAUGUGGAGUAUUGUGGUUAGUAUGGAGGAUUAUUGGAAGGAAGAUUCCGGUGGAGUGAAGCCGAAGCAUUCAUCGGGUGGGGGGUUACAAAUAUGGAGCGGUAUUAAGUAGUGUUGUACAUGUGUACGUUCCCCCUCAAGUGGUUGAAAGUUAUGAUCUGUUAGACGUAAAAUGUAUGGUCUUGUGAAGAAACCCUAAACACCAGAAGCGCAACGAAGCUGUUGCCAUGCGUGUACGACUCAGCCCAAAAAUUUAGAGGUAUUGGAGGACGAGGUGAAGGCUAGGGUUCUGGAUUCGUGAAGAAUUAUUUGCUGAAGAUUCAAAAGUAAAACCAGGGUUUGGUUUAGGAGGUAUAGCUCAAGGCGUAAGCGAUGCAUACUACGGGCACAUUCCGAACAGGUCCAGGUCAUCAUUAGUAAAAUUAUCAUCCCAUUACAAAUACGGGAAUACAAAUUGUUAGGGCCUCUUAUUUGAAUUUGCAAGUGUUGAAGUAAAAUGAAGAAGAUCUGAUGCUUAAUCAGAACAAAUGAAUAACAAGUCAAGAAAGGUUAAAACCAAUGAUGAUAAAAUGACAAUGAGAUGAUUCGACUUCGAUUAUUUGCAUCAGAGAAAGAUCAAGAGAUCUUUCCACAAAAGGAAGAAGAACAGACUAGGAAAAGACGAAAUCUGAUCUAUCUGAUGAUAAUAUGAUGAUUACAAUCUGACCCGGAUCAGACAGAUCAUCAAAUAUCUGAUGACCCCACCUGCCUGACAUGAUAAGGAUGGCAGACUUCAAGUUGGCAAAUGGAAGAUUUCGGAUUCAAUGAAUAUGCCAAACGAUUACUUUCCAGAAGUCAACUACAUGAAUAAACAAAUGUUUAUUCAUGCCAAACAUUCUCUAUAAAUAGAGAACUAAAUCAACGAAGAGUAAAUGAGCCAAGCAUUUAAGAUCAAUAUCUUACAUGCUCCACCGCCCUUCAUUGAUUCUCACUCGAAAUCUUUUAAGUAUUGUGUUGUAUUAGCCGAUAAGUAACCAAUCACCUUGCAAUCUUUUCAAAGAGAUAUAAACUUGAAAAAUUCCGUACUUUCGUUUCUUGAAAGUUUGAUUUCUGACUCUGCACAUUAUUUUCAAUGCAUGUUGAAAUCACUUUGUAACACCCAUAUUAAUUUAAUAUGAAUUUA